rnacentral:tRNA from 5 species
CCGGAGGUGGCAGAGUGGCCAAUUGCUCCAGACUGUAAAUCUGGCGGGAUUUCCCUACGGAGGUUCGAACCCUCCCCUCCGGA